GACGAACGCUGGCGGCGUGCUUAACACAUGCAAGUCGAACGGAAAGGCCCUGCUUUUGUGGGGUGCUCGAGUGGCGAACGGGUGAGUAACACGUGAGUAACCUGCCCUUGACUUUGGGAUAACUUCAGGAAACUGGGGCUAAUACCGGAUAGGAGCUCCUGCUGCAUGGUGGGGGUUGGAAAGUUUCGGCGGUUGGGGAUGGACUCGCGGCUUAUCAGCUUGUUGGUGGGGUAGUGGCUUACCAAGGCUUUGACGGGUAGCCGGCCUGAGAGGGUGACCGGGGCGGGGGUGGGGGCGGGAGGGCCACGUGGGGGCGAGGUGACGGACACGGCUCCGAGGGGAGGAGGGAUGGGGGAAGAUGAGAGGGAGGGAGGAAGCCUGAGGCGGCGACGCCGGGGGCGGGCGGACGGCCUGCGGGUUGUAAAUCGGUUUCGCGUGUGACGAGGCGGGGGUGAUGGUAAGGGGUAAAGAAGAACCGGGCAACGAGGCGCCAGCAGCCGCGGUAAUAGUCGGAAGGGCAGAGGUAUGAAC
rnacentral:rRNA from 1 species